ACCCGCCCCAGGGGAGACCUUGGGAGCUUAGCAGCAACUUGGCAUCUCCUGAGUCGCCAGAGAGAAGCUGCCUUGCUGUACUGAGUGCUGAGGAGGGGGCGCCGGGUGGCUUCCCUGGUCAAGCUGGUCGCUGAGUUACACAGGCCUUUGCAUUUUCUGGGCUGUUCCCGUGUUUCAUUCCACCCCUUCCCGGACACUGUUUGAACAAGACGUAUUUUACUAAAGGACUUGUGGAUUGCGGGGUCCCACGACAUCACCUCAUAGAUGCAAUCGAUGAUUUGUUCCAGAUCCAGGCUUGUUUCCGGGAAGAAACCCUAACAGAAAUUCAGAAGCACGGGAGCUGCAUUCAAGUAGGACGUGGAUCCAUGAAAUGCUCGUCUCACGACCUUCUAGAAGAAGGAGCUGGGACCCAUGUUCCGAGUCCUGCUGGACCCAGAGGCCAAGAGUGGCUGCACCAGUUUGCAUUCCUACCCACAGUGCAAGAGGGUUAUUCUUUCCCCACAUCCAUGGCAACACCUGCUGUGUCAUCCUUCAUUGAUUUUAGCCAUUGUGACAGAUGUGAUGUGUUCUCUCAUUGUACUUUCGAAUUGUAUGUCCCUGAAGAUCAGUAUUGUUGAGCAUUUUUUCAUGUGUCUCUUGGCCAUGUAUAUGUCUUCCUUCGGGAAAUGUC